UACAGCUAGUCAGCUAGCCACUCAUCGGGAAGGUGGCUGGCCAAGUCCAUCUCCAUAGAUCCACCCCACAUCUCCAUCUCCAUAGAUCCACCACACUCCUCCAUCUAAGCAUUUCCAAGCACGCAAGAUACCACUAGUUCACAUGUGCGGCAACGAGGUGGAGCACGACGAUGCAGCGUGAGGCAGGGCACACAGCCAGGAGUAUGGCGGCGUCACCGAGGUGGAGCGAGGCCGACGUAGAGGGCGACGAGGAGUAGGACCGCGUCAUGGAGGUGACAACCACACCAAACAACCAACCAUCAGGGGCAAUGGCUUCUCAUGAUGGAGCACAAGGCGAUUCCUGGGUUAUCGUUGGGAAUUUUUUUACUGAGUGUUCCUUCAUCACCUAAAUGUUGCAUAAAGGGAUAGCAACUCCCCUCUCUUUGCGGCAUUUCAAAGUGUUCUUGAUGAUGAAGAAGAAACUAUGGUGACAUAUUCCACUCAUUAUAGUUGAUUUUUACAUGAUACAAUAUUUGUUUUUUUCCAUGUUUUCAAUUAUUGUUCUUAUGAUCUGUUCACAUCAAGGAUGCAUCUGAGUCUAUCAUAACUGAAGAUUAGUCCGCCAUGCGCUGAAGAAAGAAGAUGAUGCCUAAAAUAAUACCUUUUUCAUUCAUAAUGAGAACUAUGAUGUCCAUAUGUCUCCUGGUUUUACUUGGCAUUAUUUAAUGUUGGACUAUUCAUAUGUCAUUUUGUAAGAAACUAAGACUGAGAAAUUAUGUUGUGAGCAUUUGAAAACUUAUUUAAUGUUGUGCUGUUGUGCAAUGCCAUUUUAAGAGAA